CAACCUUAGGUCAUGACGACGUGGGGACUGGUGUCCAUAUACGUUUAAAGGGCUAAUUUCGACGUGGAGGUGACGAUCAAGGAUAAAGGAUGAAUUUCUACUAGACCAGCCAGAAUUCAGCGUGAACUGAUUAUGGCAAAACGGUAUGAACUUUGAACUCUUAUUCACUAAAGAAGAAGUGAUACAUCCUAGAAGUCUAGUUAUCAGCUGCAGCUGUAAUCGUAUGUGGCCUAGGAAUCUCCUAUGAGAACGACAGGGUACUUCAACGUAUCCACUCUACAUCACUACGGCCAGAAAUAUUCUACAAAGGACAAGGGCAAUCUCUGCUGGGCAAACCAGUCUUCCAUCAUCGACCCAUCUAUCGAAGCGCAGCUCAGUCUCCAUGCUGGAGAGCCAAAAAAACCCUGGUGGCUCUGUUUCUCACCCCCAGAACUGAUUGUGCCCUCCGCUUCUCCCUCAGCGUCUUCCAGUUUACCUCUCUAACCCAGACACACCGGUAAUCUUUAAAUCUCCUCUUGGUCUUCCUUCACUGC
ensembl:lncRNA